CGCGUAGGCGGUCUCUUAAGUCAGAUGUGAAAGCCCAGGGCUUAACCUCGGAAGUGCAUUUGAAACUAAGGGACUUGAGUAUGGGAGAGGGAAGUGGAAUUCCUGGUGUAGCGGUGAAAUGCGUAGAUAUCAGGAGGAACACCGGUGGCGAAGGCGACUUCCUGGACCAAUACUGACGCUGAGGCGCGAAGGCGUGGGGAGCAAACAGGAUUAGAUACCCUGGUAGUCC
rnacentral:rRNA from 1 species